rnacentral:lncRNA from 1 species
CUGGGUACUGCCGCUCCUCGUAGGCCGCUUCCUCGCACUUGCCGUGCUGCGACAGGGCGACGUAGGGCACGGCCUCCCGCGCCUGGCUGUGCCGGCUCAUCUGGACGAUGGGGCCCGCCAUGUCUCGGGGCAGGUUCACCCGGUGCGUGCUGGCCACGGCCUCCCAGUGCGCGAACAGCCGGCCCCGCUCCUCCUCAUCCUCCUCGUCCUCCCCCCCUUCCUCGUCCUCCUCCUCUUCCUCGUCGCCCAGCC